AACGAACGCUGGCGCGUGGAUAAGACAUGCAAGUCGAACGAAGUGACUUCGGUCACUUAGUGGCGCACGGGUGAGUAACACGUGAGUCAUCUGCCCCUGAGACAGGGAUAGCCCCGGGAAACUGGGAUUAAUACCUGAUGGUCUCGCAAGAGUAAAGUAGCAAUACGCUCAGGGAGGAGCUCGCGUCCUAUUAGUUAGUUGGCGGGGUAACGGCCCACCAAGGCGAUGACGGGUAGCCGGUCUGAGAGGAUGUCCGGCCACACUGGAACUGAGACACGGUCCAGACACCUACGGGUGGCAGCAGUCGAGAAUCAUUCACAAUGGGCGAAAGCCUGAUGGUGCGACGCCGCGUGGGGGAAGAAGGUCUUCGGAUUGUAAACCCCCUGUCAUGUAGGAGCAAGACGCAAGUUUGAUAGUACUACAAGAGGAAGAGACGGCAAACUCUGUG
rnacentral:rRNA from 1 species